rnacentral:tRNA from 1 species
UAGCACAGUGGUUAGUGCAGUCUGCCGGAGAGAGAAAGACACGGGUUCAAUUCCCGU